rnacentral:tRNA from 1 species
GCCGAAGUGGCGGAAUGGCAGACGCAGCAGACUCAAAAUCUGCCGGGGGCAACCCCGUGGGGGUUCGACUCCCCCCUUCGGCA